rnacentral:rRNA from 1 species
GCGAGUGAAGCGGCAACAGCUCAAAUUUGAAAGCUGGCUUAGGCCCGCAUUGUAAUUUGCAGAGGAUGCUUCUGGUGAGGUGCCUUCCGAGUUCCCUGGAACGGGACGCCAUAGAGGGUGAGAGCCCCGUAUGGAUGGACACCAAACCUGUGUGAAGCUCCUUCAACGAGUCGAGUAGUUUGGGAAUGCUGCUCUAAAUGGGAGGUAAAUCUCUUCUAAAGCUAAAUACCGGCCAGAGACCGAUAGCGCACAAGUAGAGUGAUCGAAAGAUGAAAAGCACCUUGAAAAGGGGGUUAAACAGUACGUGAAAUUGUUGAAAGGGAAGCGCUUGUGACCAGACUUGCGCCGGGCAGCUCAUCAGGGGUUCUCCCCUGUGCACUCUGCCCGGCUCAGGCCAGCAUCGGUUCUUGUGGGAGGAUAAGAACGGUAGGAACGUGGCCCCCUUUCGGGGGGGUGUUAUAGCCUACCGUACGAUACUCCCGUGGGGACCGAGGUUCGCGCUCCGCAAGGAUGCUGGC